rnacentral:rRNA from 1 species
UACGGAGGGUGCAAACGUUGCUCGGAAUCAUUGGGCGUAAAGCGCACGUAGGCGGCCUGUUAAGUCGGGUGUGAAAGCCCUGGGCUCAACCCAGGAAGUGCACUCGAAACUGACAGGCUUGAAUAUGGAAGAGGGUCGCGGAAUUCCCGGUGUAGAGGUGAAAUUCGUAGAUAUCAGGAAGAACACCCGUGGCGAAGGCGGUUCUCUGGACGGUACUGACGCUGAGACGCGAAAGCGUGGGGAGCGAACAGG